UACGAAGGGGGCGAGCGUUGUUCGGAAUCACUGGGCGUAAAGGGCGCGUAGGCGGCCCUCUUAGUCGCGUGUGAAAGCCCCGGGCUCAACCUGGGAACGGCGCGCGAAACGGGAGGGCUGGAGUUCGGGAGAGGAGAGUGGAAUUCCCAGUGUAGAGGUGAAAUGCGCAGAUAUCAGGAGGAACACCGGUGGCGAAGGCGGGUCUCUGGGCCGAUACUGACGCUGAGGAGCGAAAGCAUGGGUAGCAAACAGG
rnacentral:rRNA from 1 species